GAUGAAGAACGUAGCGAAAUGCGAUAAGUAGUGUGAAUUGCAGAAUUCAGUGAAUCAUCGAAUCUUUGAACGCACAUUGCGCCCCUUGGUAUUCCAUGGGGCAUGCCUGUUCGAGCGUCAUUUGUACCUUCAAGCUCUGCUUGGUGUUGGGUGUUUGUCCUGAGGGACUCGCCUUAAAGUAAUUGGCAGCCAGUGUUUGGUUUUGAAGCGCAGCACAAGUCGCGAUUCAAGGCUAUACACCAGCUUCCACAAGCCUUUUUCACUUUUGACCUCGGAUCAGGUAGGGAUACCCGCUGAACUUAAGCAUAUCAAUAAGCGGAGGA
rnacentral:misc_RNA from 1 species